GGCGGACGGGUGAGUUAACGCGUGGGAAUCUACCCAGUAGUGGGGGACAACUACCGGAAACGGUAGCUAAUACCGCAUACGCCCUAUGGGGGAAAGGCUUCGGCCGCUAUUGGAUGAGCCCGCGUCAGAUUAGCUAGUUGGUAGGGUAAAGGCCUACCAAGGCAACGAUCUGUAGCUGGUCUGAGAGGACGAACAGCCACACUGGGACUGAGACACGGCCCAGACUCCUACGGGAGGCAGCAGUGGGGAAUAUUGGACAAUGGGCGAAAGCCUGAUCCAGCAAUGCCGCGCGUGUGAAGAAGGCCUGCGGGUUGUAAAGCACUUUCAGUUGGGAAGAUGAUGACGUUACCAACAGAAGAAGCACCGGCUAAAUCCGUGCCAGCAGCCGCGGUAAUACGGAUGGUGCGAGCGUUAAUCGGAAUUACUGGGCGUAAAGCGCGC
rnacentral:rRNA from 1 species